rnacentral:rRNA from 1 species
UUCGAUUAUGGCUCAGAUUGAACGCUGGCAGGAUGCUUUACAUGCAAGUCGAACGGCAGCACGGACUUCGGUCUGGUGGCGAGUGGCGAACGGGUGGCGAGUAAUGUAUCGGAACGUGCCUAGUAGCGGGGGAUAACUACGCGAAAGCGUAGCUAAUACCGCAUACGCCCUUCGGGGAAAGCGGGGGGACCUUCGGGCCUCGCACUAUUAAGCGGCCGAUAUCGGAUUAGCUAGUUGGUGGGUAACGGCUCACCAAGGCGACGAUCCGUAGCUGGUUUGAGAGGACGACCAGCCACACUGGGACUGAGACACGGCCCAGACUCCUACGGGAGGCAGCAGUGGGGAAUUUUUGGACAAUGGGGAAACCUGAUCCAGCCAUCCGCGUGUGCGAUGAGGCCUUCGGGUUGUAAGCACUUUUGGCAGGAAGAAACGGCACGGGAUAAUACCCCGUGCAACUGACAACCUGCAGAAUAAGCACCGGCUAACUACACGUGCCAGCAGCCGCGGUAAUGCAUGAGGUGCAAGCGUUAAUCGGAAUUACUGGGCAAAGCGUGCGCAGGCGGUUCGGAAAGAAAGAUGUGAAAUCCCAGAGCUUAACUUUGGAACUGCAUUUUAACUACCGAGCUAGGGGUGUGUCAGAGGGAGGUGGAAUUCCGCGUGUAGCAGUGAAAUGCGUAGAUAUGCGGAGGAACACCGAUGGCGAAGGCAGCCUCCUGGGAUAACACUGACGCUCAUGCACAAGCGCGUGGGGGCAAACAGGAUUAGAUACCCUGGUAGUCCACGCCCUAAACGAUGUCAACUAGCUGUUGGGGCCUUCCGGGCCUUGGUAGCGCAACCAGCGCGUGAAGUUGACCGCCUGGGGAGUACGGUCGCAGAUUAAAACUCAAAGGAAUUGACGGGGACCCGCACAAGCGGUGGAUGAUGUGGAUUAAUUCGAUGCAACGCGAAAACCUUACCUACCCUUGACAUGUCUGGAAUCCCGAAGAGAUUUGGGAGUGCUCGCAAGAGAACCGGAACACAGGUGCUGCAUGGCUGUCGUCAGCUCGUGUCGUGAGAUGUUGGGUUAAGUCCCGCAACGAGCGCAACCCUUGUCAUUAGUUGCUACGAAAGGGCACUCUAAUGAGACUGCCGGUGACAAACCGGAGGAAGGUGGGGAUGACGUCAAGUCCUCAUGGCCCAUAUGGUAGGGCUUCACACGUCAUACAAUGGUCGGGACAGAGGGUCGCCAACCCGCGAGGGGGCGUAAUCCCAGAAACCCGAUCGUAGUCCCGGAUCGCAGUCUGCAACUCGACUGCGUGAAGUCGGAAUCGCUAGUAAUCGCGGAUCAGCAUGUCGCGGUGAAUACGUUCCCGGGUCUUGUACACACCGCCCGUCACACCAUGGGAGUGGGUUUUACCAGAAGUAGUUAGCCUAACCGUAAGGAGGGCGAUUACCACGGUAAGGAUUCAUGACUGGGGGUGAAGUCAUGAGUAG